GCCCAGUAGCGUAGUGGUGAUCGCGUGGUGUUCCCGCGGCGUAUAACACCCGUGUUCACGCAUAGCCUUGUUCGAAUCAGGGACUGGGCA